rnacentral:tRNA from 1 species
CAUUAAGAAGCUAUGAACCAGCACUAGCCUUUUAAGCUAGAGACAGAGGACAGACAUCCCUCCUUAAUGG